rnacentral:rRNA from 1 species
UACGGAGGGUGCAAGCGUUAAUCGGAAUUACUGGGCGUAAAGCGUGCGCAGGCGGUUUGUUAAGUCCGUUGUGAAAGCCCCGAGCUCAACUUGGGAAUUGCAGUGGAUACUGGCAGGCUGGAGUACGGUAGAGGAAGAUGGAAUUCCCGGUGUAGCAGUGAAAUGCGUAGAUAUCGGGAGGAACACCGGUGGCGAAGGCGGUUCUCUGGGCCUGUACUGACGCUGAGGAGCGAAAGCGUGGGGAGCGAACAGG